rnacentral:rRNA from 1 species
UACGGAGGAUUCAAGCGUUAUCCGGAUUUAUUGGGUUUAAAGGGUGCGUAGGCGGUCGGAUAAGUUAGAGGUGAAAUCCCGAGGCUCAACUUCGGAAUUGCCUCUGAUACUGUUCGGCUAGAGAGUAGUUGCGGUAGGCGGAAUGUAUGGUGUAGCGGUGAAAUGCUUAGAUAUCACGAAGAACCCCGAUUGCGAAGGCAGCCUGCCGCAGCGUUACUGACGCUGAAGCUCGAAAGCGCGGGUAUCGAACAGG